GUGAAUCCUACCACAGGUCCAUCUGUGGCAGAGGGUAUGGCUUCCUUUUCAGUUGUCAUCAUUGGCCACUUGGCCUCACCAGGACCAAGUCCAUAGAGUUUAGAAGCUAUCUACAAAUUCCAGCAAUAGCAAAGUGCAUAAUUGAAAAGCUCUGCCCUUAUUAUAAAUGCUCCUCUGCAGACUUCAUUCAAAAUACAAAUCAGCAAACAUUAGGUGUAGAGAGAGAAAUCUGAGGGAUUUUUCCAUUGUCAGCCUGUUUCCCUCCGCUUUCUGGCUUCAAGCCACCAUUAUACCUCUAGAAACAUUACCAGUAAAGUUUUUAAUUUUGUUUUAAAAUGUUGUUGGUAAAAAUAUGAUUUAGGUUUUGGUAUUUCAAUUUAGGGUUUAGAUUUGCGUUUAUUUUGGUAGAUUAGCCUGGGAGCAUUAGUUUGUAUGAUAAAUCUUCAAUAGCUUAUGAUCUUCAAAAACUGAAAAUCUUUUUUAUUAUAUUAGUUGGUUUCUCAAUUCUAAGAAACUCUUUUUUUUCCCUUUGGU